rnacentral:rRNA from 1 species
CAGCACCUCAAGUGGUCAGGAUGAUUAUUGGGCCUAAAGCAUCCGUAGCCGGCUCUGUAAGUUUUCGGUUAAAUCUGUACGCUCAACGUACAGGCUGCCGGGAAUACUGCAGCGCUAGGGAGUGGGAGAGGUAGACGGUACUCGGUAGGAAGGGGUAAAAUCCUUUGAUCUAUUGAUGACCACCUGUGGCGAAGGCGGUCUACCAGAACACGUCCGACGGUGAGGGAUGAAAGCUGGGGGAGCAAACCGGAUUAGAUACCCGUGUAGUCC